AUACGGAGGGGGUUAGUGUUGUUCGGAAUUACUGGGCGUAAAGCGUACGUAGGCGGACUGGAAAGUUGGGGGUGAAAUCCCGGGGCUCAACCCCGGAACUGCCUCCAAAACUUCCAAUCUAGAGAUCGAGAGAGGUGAGUGGAAUUCCAAGUGUAGAGGUGAAAUUCGUAGAUAUUUGGAGGAACACCAGUGGCGAAGGCGGCUCACUGGCUCGAUACUGACGCUGAGGUGCGAAAGCGUGGGGAGCAAACAGGAUUAGAAACCCCUGUAGUCC
rnacentral:rRNA from 1 species